rnacentral:rRNA from 1 species
GACGAACGCCGGCGGCGUGCCUAUACAUGCAAGUCGAGCGAAGUUUUUCUGGUGCUUGCACUAGAAAAACUAGCGGCGAACGGGUGAGUAACAUGUAAAGAACCUGCCUCAUAGACGGGGACAACUAUUGGAAACGAUAGCUAAUACCGGAUAACAGCAUAAAUCGCAUGAUAUAUGUUUAAAAGUUGGUUUCGGCUAACACUAUGAGAUGGCUCUGCGGUGCAUUAGCUAGUUGGUGGGGUAAAGGCCUACCAAGGCGACGAUGCAUAGCCGACCUGAGAGGGUGAUCGGCCACACUGGGACUGAGACACGGCCCAGACUCCUACGGGAGGCAGCAGUAGGGAAUCUUCCGCAAUGGGCGAAAGCCUGACGGAGCAACGCCGCGUGAGUGAAGAAGGAUUUCGGUUCGUAAAGCUCUGUUGUUAGGGAAGAAUGAUUGUGUAGUAACUAUACACAGUAGAGACGGUACCUAACCAGAAAGCCACGGCUAACUACGUGCCAGCAGCCGCGGUAAUACGUAGGUGGCAAGCGUUGUCCGGAAUUAUUGGGCGUAAAGCGCGCGCAGGUGGUUUAAUAAGUCUGAUGUGAAAGCCCACGGCUCAACCGUGGAGGGUCAUUGGAAACUGUUAAACUUGAGUGCAGGAGAGAAAAGUGGAAUUCCUAGUGUAGCGGUGAAAUGCGUAGAGAUUAGGAGGAACACCAGUGGCGAAGGCGGCUUUUUGGCCUGUAACUGACACUGAGGCGCGAAAGCGUGGGGAGCAAACAGG